AUGCAAUGCACUAUUAAGUCAUGAUGUAACAGCAAUCCCUCACAUAAAUAUCUUACUGGGAAGAAACGCUGCCAGAAACAGCAGAGAAAUUGGAACUGCGGAGAGAUGUAGGAGCUGAAAAGACAUCAGAAACCAAAUCUACGGCCUCUCUCGAAGUCAUGUUCCUGUCGUGGCAUUCUGUCUUUCGCAUAAAGUGAAACCUUAAACAACAAACCUUGACAAUUUUAUUCGGGAUCAGACACUUUAGGAUUGGACAAGAGCAGCUUGAGAUGAGAAAGUAUGAGUCCAAAUUGGAGAAGAAUUAAAAGAUAAUGCUCUCUACGUAACAGAAAAUAAGGACACAGAUAUCCAGACUGUAUCUUACAGUUUCUAUCAUAGAAGAAAGACUCAAUCUCUGAGUUAAAAACAACCUUGAGAAGAACUUUGGCCUGACAUGGGUCAAGUGCCCACUCUUGACUACCAAUAACUUUGACCAGUGGAGUAGAAAAAGCAGAACAUGGCACCCUCUUCUCUUGUUCUGUAGAAUAGAGACACAUUCUACUAGAAUAGAUUCCUUAGAAAAUAACACUAUAGAUGUCCAUCAAAAUAUCCAUAGACUCAUAGGGUCUCUUACAUAGAAACCCAAUGUAUACUAGAAGUAAGCAUAGCAAGGCAGAUAAGGUAUUUAAUUUUUUGUGGGGGUUGCUUUUUAGAAAAGAAAUUUUCAAAAAAAAUAGAAGCCUUUGGACUUUCGUAACUGUGAAGAUAGUUGCAGAGACUGUGGUCAUACGCAUCAUCAGGAACUCUCCCUGAGAAAAGAUUAUUUAAGUGUUUAAUUGCACCCAGAGGACUUCUGCCUAACCAUCUCUCUGGAUGAGUCAUUCCUCAGAGUGCUUUGGCUACCCAAAAUCCUCGGCUAGGCUGGCCAACAUGAAGACUGAAUUUGAUACAGCUUUUUCUUCAAUAUGUAGUCAAUGUGAUUUGAGUUAAAUUGCCAACAUUAUUGACACUUGCUAUAGGCCCCCACCAUUGACCCUUCCUUAAUCACAAUUGAAGUAUAGUUCUGAUGGGAGUAACUAAAUCAUGGUGGUGUAAUAAAUAAAUGUACAGUUGGGUUCUAGCUCUAGCUUUUUAAUUGACCAGUUAUGCGGUUGAGGCUAUUUUUUUAAUCUCUCCAAAAUUAAGAGUUCAAUUUAUAGAAUAUUUUGGAUGAGUCUAAAGCCUCUUCUUGUUCAUCAUUGAAGGAAUCUAUGGCCUCUUGAUGUCCCUGUUUGGUUUCUGGACUUUAUAGUCUUGCAGGGAAAAGUUAUGUGUACACAUAUUUAAAAUAUUCUCUAUAUUCCAAAAGCUGUGAGGCUGGAAAUACAGAUAACUAAGAGCAGUUUUCAUUAUAGAUAGCCUCUCCAUUUUUCUUUUCUACCUCUCCUUAACAUCUGGCUUCAUUCAGUGGCAUGAGAGAAACAGCUAGAUUAAAAGGAAAAUAAAACCAAAACCAAAAACACAACCUACCUCUACCGAAUGCAAUCAAUGGACACGAGCUAUUCCUGGAGUUGAACACCUGCUCCAUUUCUUUUCAUCUGUAUUUUCUCCAUCUGUUCUAAUUAUGUCCCUUUCUUGGGAGUAAGAGAACUGCUACUGUCUGGUGCCAUGUAAGGGUGAGAAAGGUUAAUUAACACUGAAGACAGAUCCCAAUUGCCCCUGCAUCACACCCCUGUCCAUAUGCAUUAGACUGUGAAGGGGUGCCCACCUUUCCCAUGACCUGGUGCUGCUCAUGAAUUUGUGUCUGCUCCUCUUAGUCUCUUACAUGGCUCCCUUCUUUCCUGAGCUGUCUCCAGAGCAUUGAAUCCAAAGGCACUCAUCCAUGCUAAAGUGGCAAAAUGCCUUAGUCAUAUGGAGGGGGUAUGUCCUAGAGAGUAGAAAAAAGCAUAUAGAACUGCCUUCUGCAGCACUCUUAGAUCCAACCAGCAGUAAGAGCUGUGACCCAACCUGCAGACAUAUACAACUAAAGAGGAUAGUAUGCUAUCAACAGACAAAUGAUGAAGAAAAAUAGGUAAGUAGAGCUACAGAAAUAGAGAAUAGAUAGGUACCUUUGAAUCCAUUGGCUCUCUAAGUCAAAAAAGGCAGCCUGGAGAAAGUGGUGUUUAAGGACACAUAGAUGUCACAGAGGCAAUGAAAGUUAGGGGUGCCAAUCAUUUCAGUAAGAAAAAACAGCAUGUGCCCAGAAAUGAAAAAAAUAAUAAUAUAUAUUAUUUAGUAUAGGUAGAGGGUAGAGUUUGAGGUGAGAAAUCCUAAGAUAUAAAGAUAGGCAGAUAAGUUUUGACCCUUCCAGAUUUGAUAUUCAAAUGUGGUCCUAGAACAAGCAGCAUCAGCAUCACCUGGAAGGUCAGCAAGUGAGAAACUUAAGGCACAUCAUUUAAGGAGACACGCCCUCUUAGAUUCAUGCAAGCAUAGGAUUGGCACUAGUACUGCCCUGACAGUGAGUAUCUCUUUAAAUUUUUCAUCUGGGGAUGUCUCACUUAGCUUACCCUAGUCCUGGGCCUGCACCCCAGGCCCAAUGAAUCAGAAGCUAUAUUUUAACAAGAUGCCCAAGUGAUGUGCAUGCACAUUACAUUUGGCAGGAACUGCUCUCAAGAGUUUGUAAACCAUGCUUGAGUUUACAGAUUGUCCUGGGAACAAUGGCUAUUAUGUUUCAGGAUUUAAGCAGGUGGAGGUUCCUGUUUCAUUUAUAAAGGUUUAUCUGUGGCAGUGUGGAUAGCAUGCUAGAGCAGGCCAUGUCAGGAGUUAGAGAAGCGGAUUAGGAGGCUGUAAUACUGAUCCAGGACUGAAGGGGAAGUCAGUUUGUGGGGUGUUUGACCACAUUUAGUGAGUGGUUGAAGUGUGACGUAACAAUGAAGGAAAAAUCAAGAACACCCGGUUCAUGGCUACAGUAACAAGUGGUUGGGAGUACCACUCACUGAGGUAGGGAAAAAGAAAAUAAGACAGGAAAGGAGAGAAGGUGAUGAGUUAACAUCUGGAAAUGUUAAAUUUGAUAAAUUUUAGAUUAUCCAGCAUGAUGUAUGGGUGUCCAGCUCAUGAAGAGAGAUGAGACACAAGUAUGGAUCUCAAACCUGUCACCCCUAAAUGGAAAUUAAGGCUGUUGAAAGAGAGAAAAUGUUUAGAGAGAAUCUAGAGAAUAAGAGAGGUUAAAGAUGUUUUAGAAUGUGAAAUACAAACCAUUAGGUAAUAACUAAAUAAUUAUUUUCAUUUUGGAAACUAUUUUCACACCCAAUAUAUCAUUUGAACAACAUAAGCUUUUGGGGGAAUAGCCAAGGCAUUAUUAUUAUUCUCAUUUCACAGAUUCUAGGGCUUGUAAUUUUUAGGUUGUUUUGGCUAGCAAAUUAUCCAGUUGAAUACACCUAGAGCAG
rnacentral:lncRNA from 10 species